rnacentral:misc_RNA from 1 species
CCAACACCUACAUUGGA